rnacentral:lncRNA from 1 species
GCCUCCCUGGCUUACUGCUGCUGCUGGUUGCUUCGCCGUCCCCUUCCCCUACAGUGCUAUAUUGCAUCACUGAUCUGCACUGUUUGGUGUGUCUCAUUCCUAGUAUUGUUAUGUUCAACCACAUUGCCAGUGUUCAGAAAUAACACCUACUCACUAUGCAAAUGCAUGCAACAUAAUCUGAAAUUCAUUCAGUUUGACUGUGUGUAAACACUAUAGUGUACAACUAUCAACUUGUUUCACUAUUCAGUUUGUCACCAUUCAACUUUCUUAGUGGGGCAUCUUUCUUGUGAGAGUUUACUUGAUAGUACAAUAUGUUAGAAGAAACUACCAUGUCUCCGAAAUGAAUCAUUGAUCGCUCUUUAUACACUUACAACUCGGUUUCUUUCAUAUAAGUUCUGUUGCCUUUCUUUAGGUUGAGCUACUGCCCUGUUAAUUAUUGUAACAAACAUUAUCAUUUGCCAGUUUGCUCUGUGUUGAGAACUGACCAAUAAGUUUUGUUUGCCAAUUAGCUUUCUCUGUGCAUGCUGUUAAUCCCCAUUUUACUAAUUUCUGAAUCAAACAUUAUUAUUUCUGUCCUCAACAAGUCGCGGCGCCAUGUUCUCUUUUUGUUCAGUUAGCUCUGUCAAAUAUAAUCAACUUGCCUCUGUUCCAUUUUGCUAUUUGUACUUAGGUAGAAAAUGCUAAAUUCUGUACAUGUACAUGUAAGUCUGAAGCUAUAUUGGUUGCUUGUUUCUUAAUUUUUUUCUUCUGUAAUGAUGAUCUAAAAUGCCAUGCAGGUCACUAUUGGUGCUGCUGCUGCUGUGGUUGUUGGAGGUGUUGCUGUUGCAUCUGGCGGAGCUGCCGUUGGGGCCCCAAAAGGUAACCUUCAUCAGCCACAACCCCACAACAAUGGCUCAAGGUUUUGUGCCCCAUCACCCCUCUUUCUAAAUUACUGAAAUAAACCAAGAUCUCAUAUAUUUAGGAAUAGAGGUAGUAGUAAGGUUAAAAUAGAACAGCAAGGGAUGUUUCUAAUUUGGUUAUGCUAGAAUAAUGCAUCAACUCGUGGUAUUCUUGGAUGUUACUCUAAGGUGUCAAAAUGAUAGUAAAACCUAGGCUCUUGCAUGGUUCUUGAAUUAAUUUUUCUAUUUUAGUGCUAACAAAUAUUGCCUAUGUUGAGACUCUAAACAUGUGGAUGUUCCUCUCAUUUACAGGAAUUCUACCCGAAGAAAUUCGGAGAAAGCUUGAAGCCCUAGUUAGCGACUUGCUUUAUAUGUUAUUGACUUGUAAUGCUAAAUUUGUUGAGAAUUUUGAUGUACUAUUGCACAUGUUACUCGAAUGCUGGUAGUUAUGUACAUAUACUCACUAUAUCAUCCGUUGUUUACUUGAAAU